AUUGUUGGAGAGUUUGAUCCUGGCUCAGGACGAACGCUGGCGGCGUGCUUAACACAUGCAAGUCGAGCGGUAAG
rnacentral:rRNA from 1 species